AAAUUUGCGCAGAGGCGGUGUCGUACCCAAUGAAGUGAUAACUGAGGGGCGACUAUUGCUAGUUGAAAACUUUUCCCUUUGUGAAAUUUCGGUCAUUGUUCCUUGUGUAUUUGAGGUUUCCGGGAUUGAAUUUUAUGUACAGAA